GCAGUCGUGGCCUAGUGGAUAGGGUGAUUGAUAUGGAUCACUAGUGGCCUAGUGGAUAUGGAGAUCAAAAGGUCGCUGGUUCGAUUCCCAGCGCCACUGGG